rnacentral:rRNA from 1 species
UACAGAGGGUGCAAGCGUUAAUCGGAAUUACUGGGCGUAAAGAGUGCGCAGGCGGCUUUGCAAGACAGAUGUGAAAUCCCCGGGCUCAACCUGGGAACUGCAUUUGUGACUGCAAGGCUAGAGUACGGCAGAGGGGGAUGGAAUUCCGCGUGUAGCAGUGAAAUGCGUAGAUAUGCGGAGGAACACCAAUGGCGAAGGCAAUCCCCUGGGCCUGUACUGACGCUCAUGCACGAAAGCGUGGGGAGCAAACAGG